GGAGAGGUGCCAGAGCGGUCGAAUGGGACGGUUUCGAAAACCGUUGCGCUCGAUUUCGGGCGCCGUGGGUUCGAAUCCCACCCUCUCCGCCU
rnacentral:tRNA from 1 species